GGUUUAAUUCGAUGCAACGCGAAUAACCUUACCUGGCCUUGACAUCCACGGAACCCUGCAGAGAUGCGGGGGUGCCUUCGGGAACCGUGAGACAGGUGCUGCAUGGCUGUCGUCAGCUCGUGUCGUGAGAUGUUGGGUUAAGUCCCGCAACGAGCGCAACCCUUGUCCCUAGUUGCCAGCAUUCAGUUGGCACUCCAGGGAGACCGCCGGUGACAAACCGGA
rnacentral:rRNA from 1 species